CGUGGGUAACCUACCCAUCAGAGGGGGAUAACACUUGGAAACAGGUGCUAAUACCGCAUAACAGUUUAUGCCGCAUGGCAUAAGGGUGAAAGGCGCUUUCGGGUGUCGCUGAUGGAUGGACCCGCGGUGCAUUAGCUAGUUGGUGAGGUAACGGCUCACCAAGGCCACGAUGCAUAGCCGACCUGAGAGGGUGAUCGGCCACACUGGGACUGAGACACGGCCCAG
rnacentral:rRNA from 1 species